GGCUCACCAAGGCGACGAUCUCUAGCUGGUCUGAGAGGAUGACCAGCCACACUGGAACUGAGACACGGUCCAGACUCCUACGGGAGGCAGCAGUGGGGAAUAUUGCACAAUGGGGGGAACCCUGAUGCAGCCAUGCCGCGUGUAUGAAGAAGGCCUUCGGGUUGUAAAGUACUUUCGGUGAUGAGGAAGGAAGUGUAUCUAAUAGGUACAUUAAUUGACGUUAAUUACAGAAGAAGCACCGGCUAACUCCGUGCCAGCAGCCGCGGUAAUACGGAGGGUGCGAGCGUUAAUCGGAAUGACUGGGCGUAAAGGGCAUGUAGGCGGAUAAUUAAGUUAGGUGUGAAAGCCCUGGGCUCAACCUAGGAAUUGCACUUAAAACUGGUUAACUAGAGUAUUGUAGAGGAAGGUAGAAUUCCACGUGUAGCGGUGAAAUGCGUAGAGAUGUGGAGGAAUACCGGUGGCGAAGGCGGCCUUCUGGACAGAUACUGACGCUGAGAUGCGAAAGCGUGGGGAGCAAACAGGAUUAGAUACCCUGGUAGUCCACGCUGUAAACGAUGUCGAUUUGGAGUUUGUUGCCUAGAGUGAUGGGCUCCGAAGCUAACGCGAUAAAUCGACCGCCUGGGGAGUACGGCCGCAAGGUUAAAACUCAAAUGAAUUGACGGGGGCCCGCACAAGCGGUGGAGCAUGUGGUUUAAUUCGAUGCAACGCGAAGAACCUUACCUGGUCUUGACAUCCACAGAAUCUUGUAGAGAUACGAGAGUGCCUUCGGGAACUGUGAGACAGGUGCUGCAUGGCUGUCGUCAGCUCGUGUUGUGAAAUGUUGGGUUAAGUCCCGCAACGAGCGCAACCCUUAUCCUUUGUUGCCAUCGAUUCGGUCGGGAACUCAAAGGAGACUGCCGUUGAUAAAGCGGAGGAAGGUGGGGACGACGUCAAGUCAUCAUGGCCCUUACGACCAGGGCUACACACGUGCUACAAUGGCGUAUACAAAGGGAGGCGACCUCGCGAGAGUAAGCGGACCUCACAAAGUACGUCUAAGUCCGGAUUGGAGUCUGCAACUCGACUCC
rnacentral:rRNA from 1 species